GACGAACGCUGGCGGCGUGCUUAACACAUGCAAGUCGAACGGAAAGGCUCAUUUGGGGGUACUAGAGUGGCGAACGGGUGAGUAACACGUGAGUAACCUGCACUUGACUUCGGGAUAACUUCAGGAACCUGGGGCUAAUACCGGAUAGGAAUCCUUGCUGCAUGGCGGGGGUUGGAAAGCUUCGGCGGCUUUGGCUGGACUUGCGGCUUAUCAGCUUGUUGGUGGAGGAGUGGCUUACCAAGGCUUUGACGGGUAGCCGGCCUGAGAGGGCGACCGGCCACAAAGGGACUGAGAGACGGCCCAGACGCCUACGGUAGGCAGCAGUGGGGAAUAUUGCGCAAUGGGCGGGAGCCUGAUGCAGCAGCGCCGCGUGCGGGAAGACGGGCUGCGGGUUGAGAACCGCUGUCAGCAGAGGCGAAGCUUGUGGUGACGGUACCUGCAGAAGAAGCACCGGCUAACUACGUG
rnacentral:rRNA from 1 species